rnacentral:rRNA from 1 species
UAAACGUUGGCAUUAGGUGUGGGGACAUUCCACGUUUUCCGCGCCGUAGCUAACGCAUUAAGUGCCCCGCCUGGGGAGUACGGCCGCAAGGCUAAAACUCAAAGGAAUUGACGGGGGCCCGCACAAGCGGCGGAGCAUGCGGAUUAAUUCGAUGCAACGCGAAGAACCUUACCAAGGCUUGACAUUCACCGGACCGCCCCAGAGAUGGGGUUUCCCUUCGGGGCUGGUGGACAGGUGGUGCAUGGUUGUCGUCAGCUCGUGUCGUGAGAUGUUGGGUUAAGUCCCGCAACGAGCGCAACCCUCGUUCUAUGUUGCCAGCACGUGAUGGUGGGGACUCAUAGGAGACUGCCGGGGUCAACUCGGAGGAAGGUGGGGAUGACGUCAAAUCAUCAUGCCCCUUAUGUCUUGGGCUUCACGCAUGCUACAAUGGCCGGUACAAAGGGUUGCGAUACUGUGAGGUGGAGCUAAUCCCAAAAAGCCGGUCUCAGUUCGGAUUGAGGUCUGCAACUCGACCUCAUGAAGUCGGAGUCGCUAGUAAUCGCAGAUCAGCAACGCUGCGGUGAAUACGUUCCCGGGCCUUGUACACACCGCCCGUCAAGUCACGAAAGUUGGUAACACCCGAAGCCGGUGGCCUAACCCCUUGUGGGAGGGAGCCGUCGAAGGUGGACUGGCGAUUGAUA